rnacentral:rRNA from 1 species
GACGAACGCUGGCGGCGUGCCUAAUACAUGCAAGUUGAGCGAUGAAGAUUGGUGCUUGCACCAAUUUGAAGAGCAGCGAACGGGUGAGUAACGCGUGGGGAAUCUGCCUUUGAGCGGGGGACAACAUUUGGAAACGAAUGCUAAUACCGCAUAACAACUUUAAACAUAAGUUUUAAGUUUGAAAGAUGCAAUUGCAUCACUCAAAGAUGAUCCCGCGUUGUAUUAGCUAGUUGGUGAGGUAAAGGCUCACCAAGGCGAUAAUACAUAGCCGACCUGAGAGGGUGAUCGGCCACAUUGGGGCUGAGACACGGCCCAAACUCCUACGGGAGGCAGCAGUAGGGAAUCUUCGGCAAUGGACGAAAGUCUGACCGAGCAACGCCGCGUGAGUGAAGAAGGUUUUCGGAUCGUAAAACUCUGUUGGUAGAGAAGAACGUUGGUGAGAGUGGAAAGCUCAUCAAGUGACGGUAACUACCCAGAAAGGGACGGCUAACUACGUG